ACCCAUGUUCAAAACUAGCUCAGUCCAACUGCAUGUGAGAGCAACCUGGAAAGACUUUGACAGCCCAGGUCAGCAGAGUACCUGCAGCUGCCGCUCGACUUUCCUAUAAUG
rnacentral:snoRNA from 1 species